rnacentral:rRNA from 1 species
CCCUUCGGGGGACUAGUAGAGUGGCGCACGGGUGAGUAACACGUAGGUAAUCUACCUUCGGAUGGGGAAUAACAAUCGGAAACGGUUGCUAAUACCGCAUAAUGCAGCGGCACCUAAUGGUGACAGUUGUUAAAGCGGGGGAUCGAAAGACCUCGCGUCUGAAGAGGAGCCUGCGGCGGAUUAGCUAGUUGGUAAGGUAACGGCUUACCAAGGCAACGAUCCGUAACCGGCCUGAGAGGGCGGUCGGUCACACUGACACUGACAUACGGGUCAGACUCCUACGGGAGGCAGCAGUCGGGAAUUUUGGGCAAUGGGCGAAAGCCUGACCCAGCAACGCCGCGUGAAGGAUGAAAUCCCUCGGGAUGUAAACUUCGCAAGAACGGGAAGAAUAAGUCUGUGUAAAUAUCACAGAUGAUGACGGUACCGUUUGUAAGCUCCGGCUAACUCCGUGCCAGCAGCCGCGGUAAUACGGGGGGAGCAAGCGUUGUUCGGAUUUACUGGGCAUAAAGGGCGCGUAGGCGGCCACCGCAAGUCAAUUGUGAAAUCUCCGGGCUUAACUCGGAAAGGUCAACUGAUACUGCGGGGCUAGAGUGCGGAAGGGGCAACUGGAAUUCUCGGUGUAGCGGUGAAAUGCGUAGAUAUCGAGAGGAACACCUGCGGCGAAGGCGGGUUGCUGGGCCGACACUGACGCUGAGGCGCGAAAGCCAGGGGAGCGAACGGGAUUAGAUACCCCGGUAGUCCUGGCCUUAAACGAUGAAUGCUUGGUGUCUGGGGUUAUAAAGUCCCCGGGUGCCGUCGCUAACGCUUUAAGCAUUCCGCCUGGGGAGUACGGUCGCAAG